rnacentral:tRNA from 1 species
GGCGCUAUACUUUAAUUUAAAAGGUUUGUUUUGCAUGCUUAUAAUGAGUUUUCUCUAUUGCCA